AACGAACGCUGGCGGCAGGCCUAACACAUGCAAGUCGAGCGGACCCUUCGGGGUUAGCGGCGGACGGGUGAGUAACGCGUGGGAAUAUGCCCUUCUCUACGGAAUAGUCCUGGGAAACUGGGGGUAAUACCGUAUACGCCCUUUGGGGGAAAGAUUUAUCGGGGAAGGAUUAGCCCGCGUUGGAUUAGGUAGUUGGUGGGGUAAUGGCCUACCAAGCCGACGAUCCAUAGCUGGUUUGAGAGGAUGAUCAGCCACACUGGGACUGAGACACGGCCCAGACUCAUACGGGAGGAAGCAGUGGGGAAUCUUAGACAAUGGGGGCCACCCUGAUAUAGCCAUGCCGCGUGAGUGAUGAAGGCCUUAGGGUUGUAAAGCUCUUUCAGCUGGGAAGAUAAUGACGGUACCAGCAGAAGAAGCCCCGGCUAACUCCGUG
rnacentral:rRNA from 1 species